UGAUAAAAUAUUAUAAAAAUAUAUUAGUAAAAAAAUGUUGUUAAAAAUUACAUGUGUUAUGUGUUGCAGUGAGUGUUUCAGGAUGGUAUGUCUUUGAAGAUUGAUUAUGAAGAGGUGCAGUACGUUUGGGAGUGUGAUUUUGUGCAUGGUUGCGAACGACCAUAGCAAUAUUGUGCAUUAUAUUGUUCCUGGUAUCACUUCCUUGGCAAUAUUCUCUUCAAAUUAAUCUGCGCCUUUACCAUUCUCAAUAUCUGGCUUUCUUUCUUUUUCUUUAAUUUCUUUGUGGUAUUUUGUACCGAUCGACUAGACUGCGAUGAUAUUGUGAAAUGUUGUUUAUUUGACUCA